rnacentral:rRNA from 1 species
UGGGGAAUAUUGCACAAUGGGCGCAAGCCUGAUGCAGCGACGCCGCGUGCGGGAUGGAAGGCCUUCGGGUUGUAAACCGCUUUGUUCAAGGGCAAGGCAGGCUUUCGGGCCGUG